rnacentral:misc_RNA from 1 species
GUGAUCAUCGAAUCUUUGAAUGCACCUUGCGCUCCUUGGUAUUCCGAGGAGCAUGCCUGUUUGAGUGUCAUUGAAUUCUCAACCAUCCUUUGAUUGAUUUCGAGGGAUGGCUUGGAUCUUGGGAGUUGCUGGCUACCCCUCGGGGACGGUCGGCUCUCCUUAAAAGCAUUAGCGAAAGGUUGACAAGCCCUGCAUGCACGGCCUUUGACGUGAUAAUGAUCGUCGUGGCUGGAGUGUGAGGCGUAGAUUCGAUCUUUGCUUCCAAAAACAUGGUAUUGGGGGUACUUGCGACCCUUUUUACUUUUUGACGCUUGACCUCAAAUCAGGUAGGACUACCCGCUGAACUUAAG